ACGGAAGGCAGCAGUGGGGAAUAUUGGACAAUGGGGGAAACCCUGAUCCAGCGACGCCGCGUGAGUGAAGAAGUAUUUCGGUAUGUAAAGCUCUAUCAGCAGGGAAGAUAAUGACGGUACCUGACUAAGAAGCCCCGGCUAACUACGUGCCAGCAGCCGCGGUAAUACGUAGGGGGCAAGCGUUAUCCGGAUUUACUGGGUGUAAAGGGAGCGUAGACGGAUGGCUAAGUCUGAUGUGAAAGGUGAGGGCUCAACCCUUAAACUGCAUUGGAAACUGGUCAUCUAGAGUGUCGGAGAGGUAAGUGGAAUUCCUAGUGUAGCGGUGAAAUGCGUAGAUAUUAGGAGGAACACCAGUGGCGAAGGCGGCUUACUGGACGAUAACUGACGUUGAGGCUCGAAAGCGUGGGGAGCAAACAGGAUUAGAUACCCUGGUA
rnacentral:rRNA from 1 species